GAUGAACGCUGGCGGCGUGCUUAACACAUGCAAGUCGAACGGUGAAGGCGGAGCUUGCUCUGCUGGAUCAGUGGCGAACGGGUGAGUAACACGUGAGCAAUCUGCCCCUGACUCUGGGAUAAGCGCUGGAAACGGCGUCUAAUACUGGAUACGAGCUGCGAAGGCAUCUUCAGCAGCUGGAAAGAACUUCGGUCAGGGAUGAGCUCGCGGCCUAUCAGCUUGUUGGUGAGGUAACGGCUCACCAAGGCGUCGACGGGUAGCCGGCCUGAGAGGGUGACCGGCCACACUGGGACUGAGACACGGCCCAGACUCCUACGGGAGGCAGCAGUGGGGAAUAUUGCACAAUGGGCGAAGGCCGGAUGCAGCACCGCCGCGUGAGGGACGACGGCCUUCGGGUUGUAAACCUCUUUUAGCAGGGAAGAAGCGAAAGUGACGGAACCUGCAGAAAAAGCGCCGGCUAAUUACGU
rnacentral:rRNA from 1 species